rnacentral:rRNA from 1 species
AAUAAACGCUGGCGGCAGGCCUAACACAUGCAAGUCGAGGGGCAGCACAGAAACAGCAAUGUUUUGGUGGCGACCGGCGGACGGGUGCGUAACGCGUAUGCAACCUACCUUUAACAGGGGGAUAACGGAGAGAAAUUUCCACUAAUACCCCAUAACAUCGAUCAAGGCAUCUUGAUUGGUUGAAAACUCCGGUGGUUAAAGAUGGGCAUGCGUUGUAUUAGGUAGUUGGUGAGGUAAUGGCUCACCAAGCCUACGAUACAUAGGGGGACUGAGAGGUUAGCCCCCAACACUGGUACUGAGACACGGACCAGAAUCCUACGGGAGGCAGCAGUGAGGAAUAUUGGUCAAUGGGGGCAUCCCUGAACCAGCCAUGCCGCGUGCAGGAAGACGGCUCUAUGAGUUGUAAACUGCUUUUAAACAGGGAUAAAGCACAGUAUGUAUACUGUGUUGAAGGUACUGUAAGAAUAAGGAUCGGCUAACUCCGUGCCAGCCGCCGCCGUAA